GCCACGUUGGUCGGCAAUCAACGUCGCGAUUAUCAUUGGCAUAAUCAUGGACGAUUCAAACUUUUUGCGGCUCUCGAAGACCCGUGAUUGAAAAUCAUUUCGAAAUAGCAUCGGCCAGAAAUUCGUAGCUGGCACACAUCCCAUUUGCAGCGGAACCACAUUUGCCAAACACCCUACUUUUUUCGCCCACAAAGACCCACAAAUCUACGCGCGAUUUUUCCUCCGCACUUGUUGAUGUUAAUGCACAUUACGUAUACGCACGCUCUGCGAGUUGCAAGACAAGAAGUUGUCUAAACAACUGCAGAUGCAUGUAGGCAUGUUGGCAUGGUGUUUAUGAGCUUAUGGGCGGGUGUUCCACGAAUGCUGCUGACGUCAACCGUGCCUGCCACACGAGUCUUGUGGGAACCAUUCGACGGAGAAGAAGAUGUUGGCCACAUCCAUCCAGACUGCAACUGCAAAUGCCAUUUUUGAUUCCCCGCUGCUAAGCAGAAAAUGUUUUGUGUAGUCACUCAAAAUUUAAUAGUUAGCUUUUUCUCAGAGAAAUAUUAGCAACUGAAAUAGGAAAACUUUGAAAAAGGAGCAAGAAAUGGUAAUAAAUACUUAUU